rnacentral:rRNA from 1 species
GCAGCCGCGGUAAUUCCAGCUCCAAUAUCUUAUAUUAAAGUUGUUGCAGUUAAAAAGCUCGUAGUUGAAUUUCGGGGUUAGUAGGUUGGUCGUGCCACUGGUAUGUACUGGCUUCACUGAUUCCUCCUUCUUGAAGAACUGUAAUGCCAUUUAUUUGGUGUUGCAGGGAAACAGGACUGUUACUUUGAAAAAAUUAGAGUGUUUAAAGCAGGCUAACGCUUGAAUACAUUAGCAUGGAAUAAUGAAAUAGGACGUUUGACCCUAUUUUGUUGGUUUCUAGGAUCGACGUAAUGAUUAAUAGGGAUAGUUGGG